GGCCUCGUGGCCCAAUGGCAAGGCGUCUGACUACGAUCAGAGUUGAUGGGAUGUGAUGAUUAUCAGGAGAUUCUGGGUUCGACCCCCAGCGAGGUCA